GCGGUAUGCUUUACACAUGCAAGUCGUACGAGAGUUUUUAACUCAAGUGGCGGACGGGUGAGUAACACGUAAGAAUUUACCUUUAGGAGGGGGAUAACAAUUAGAAAUGGCUGCUAAUACCCCAUAUGCUUUCGAGUGAAAUGGAGUUUUCCGCCUAGAGAGAAGCUUGCGGCUGAUUAGCUUGUUGGUGAGGUAAUGGCUUACCAAGGCGACGAUCAGUAUCUGGUUUGAGAGGAUGAUCAGACACACUGGAACUGAGACACGGUCCAGACUCUUACGGGAGGCAGCAGUGGGGAAUUUUCCGCAAUGGGCGAAAGCCUGACGGAGCAAUACCGCGUGAGGGAUGACGGCCUAUGGGUUGUAAACCUCUUUUUUCAGGGAGGAAUAAAUGACGUGUACCUGAAGAAUAAGCAUCGGC
rnacentral:rRNA from 1 species